rnacentral:rRNA from 1 species
UACGUAGGGGGCAAGCGUUGUCCGGAAUCAUUGGGCGUAAAGAGCGCGUAGGCGGCCCUGUAAGUCCGCUGUGAAAGUCAAGGGCUCAACCCUUGAAUGCCGGUGGAUACUGCAGGGCUAGAGUCCGGAAGAGGCGAGUGGAAUCCUGGUGUAGCGGUGAAAAUGCGCAGAUAUCAGGAGGAACACCGGUGGCGAAGGCGGGUCUCUGGGCAAUAACUGACGCUGAGGAGCGAAAGCGUGGGGAGCGAACAGGAUAGAAACCCU